ensembl:misc_RNA 7SK 7SK RNA
GGAUUUGAGGGCAAUCUGACUGCAACAUCUGUCACCCCAUUGAUCGCUAGGCUUGAUUUGGCUGAUCUGGCUGUCUAGGCUGGUAUCCCCUUCUUCACUCACCACUUGGUGUGUGGCCUUCCUAGUGCUGUGUGCUCACUCAGAGAUGAUGACCUUCCCCAAAUAGAGAUGGACUGGUCUUCAGUCGAAGGUAUACAGGCCAGGCCAGGCGGGGCCAGGCGGGGCUGGGUGGUGGUGCAGCUGGUUAAGUGCACACACUAUAGUGCACAAGGACCUGGGUUCAAACCCCUGGU